rnacentral:tRNA from 1 species
GGCUCGGUGGUGUAGUUGGUUAUCACGUCAGUCUAACAUUCAGUUAGGCGCACUGAAGGUCCCGAGUUCAAACCUCGGCUGAGUCA